AGCCCUGGGAAGGAGCCCGCCCUGCCGACACCGACGUGGGGAGAGGACGGGUUUCUGCUCUUGGAGGACCUUCCCCCGGCCCUGCCCCAGGGGGCGGCACAGGUUACAGCGGCCCUAGGACAGGAAUCCUUGUCCCCAACAAGGCGAGGUGUCACCACGUGGAGAAUGGAGGAUUUCUGCACUGCUUGGCUCUUGUGCGAUGGGAACGAAUUCACUGAUUGCUCCUGAAAUAAAAAGCAACUUGCGUUUCUGCAAGA